rnacentral:rRNA from 1 species
GGGACAACAGUUCGAAAGGACUGCUAAUACCGAAUGUUGUAGAGUUUCCGCAUGGGAAUCCUACUAAAGGUGGCCUCUACUUGUAAGCUAUCGCUUUACGAUGGGUCUGCGUCUGAUUAGCUAGUUGGUGGGGUAACGGCUUACCAAGGCGACGAUCAGUAGCCGGUCUGAGAGGAUGAACGGCCACAUUGGAACUGAGACACGGUCCAGACUCCUACGGGAGGCAGCAGUGGGGAAUCUUCCGCAAUGGGCGCAAGCCUGACGGAGCAACGCCGCGUGAGUGAAGAAGGGUUUCGACUCGUAAAGCUCUGUUGUCGGGGACGAAUGUGGAGAUGGUGAAUAACCAUUUUCAAUGACGGUACCUGACGAGGAAGCCACGGCUAACUACGUGCCAGCAGCCGCGGUAAUACGUAGGUGGCGAGCGUUGUCCGGAAUUAUUGGGCGUAAAGGGAGCGCAGGCGGGAAGGUAAGUCUAUCUUAAAAGUGCGGGGCUCAACCCCGUGAGGGGAUGGAAACUAUCUUUCUUGAGUGCAGGAGAGGAAAGCGGAAUUCCUAGUGUAGCGGUGAAAUGCGUAGAUAUUAGGAGGAACACCAGUGGCGAAGGCGGCUUUCUGGACUGUAACUGACGCUGAGGCUCGAAAGCGUGGGGAGCGAACAGGAUUAGAUACCCUGGUAGUCCACGCCGUAA